rnacentral:misc_RNA from 1 species
AAACACCCAAGCCCUGCUUGGUGAUGGAGGCGGCUUUCGCCGUCGUCCGCAAUCCGUCGGCUGCGGCGCCCGUCCGUGAAAGUAGUGAGACACAUCUUUCUGCGGAUGUCGGCGUGCCCUGCAGGCCCAACGAACCCCCAAAU